rnacentral:rRNA from 1 species
ACGGAGGAUCCAAGCGUUAUCCGGAAUCAUUGGGUUUAAAGGGUCCGUAGGUGGUUUAUUAAGUCAGAGGUGAAAUCCUAUCGCUCAACGAUAGAACUGCCUUUGAAACUGAUAGACUUGAGUUAUUGUGAAGUAGUUAGAAUAUGUAGUGUAGCGGUGAAAUGCAUAGAUAUUACAUAGAAUACCGAUUGCGAAGGCAGAUUACUAACAAUAUACUGACACUGAGGGACGAAAGCGUGGGUAGCGAACAGG